GCGGAUGUAGCCAAGUGGACCAAGGUAGUGGAUUGUGAAUCCACCACAUGCGAGUUCAAUUCCCAUCAUUCUCC
rnacentral:tRNA from 1 species